rnacentral:misc_RNA from 1 species
AACGCACGAGACCUGCGGACCUGCGGAGGGAUCAUUAACGAAUCUUUGGCCCGAGGUGCAUGGCACUAAGGGUCACAUUGACUCGGGCAUUAGAGGACUCGAGUUGGUCUACCAGCUCGGCCUCAAAGGCCUAGAGACAUUUACGCUUGUUGUGUAUGACUGAGUUAUUAUGUUGGCCUAAUAAAGACAACUUUUAACAACGGAUCUCU